UGGGGGAUAACACUUAGAAAUAGGUGCUAAUACCGCAUAAGCGCACAGCUUCGCAUGAAGCAGUGUGGAAAACUCCGGUGGUAUACGAUGGAUCUGCGUCUGAUUAGCUUGUUGGCGGGGUAAAGGCCCACCAAGGCGACGAUCAGUAGCCGGCCUGAGAGGGUGGACGGCCACAUUGGGACUGAGACACGGCCCAAACUCCUACGGGAGGCAGCAGUGGGGGAUAUUGCACAAUGGGGGAAACCCUGAUGCAGCGACGCCGCGUGAGUGAAGAAGUAUUUCGGUAUGUAAAGCUCUAUCAGCAGGGAAGAAAGAAGACGGUACCUGAGUAAGAAGCCCCGGCUAACUACGUGCCAGCAGCCGCGGUAAUACGUAGGGGGCAAGCGUUAUCCGGAUUUACUGGGUGUAAAGGGAGCGUAGACGGCAAGGCAAGCCUGGAGUGAAAGGCGGGGGCCCAACCCCCGGACUGCUCUGGGAACUGUCUAGCUAGAGUGCAGGAGGGGUAAGUGGAAUUCCUAGUGUAGCGGUGAAAUGCGUAGAUAUUAGGAGGAACACCAGUGGCGAAGGCGGCUUACUGGACUGUAACUGACGUUGAGGCUCGAAAGCGUGGGGAGCAAACAGGAUUAGAUACCCUGGUAGUCCACGCCGUAAACGAUGAUCACUAGGUGU
rnacentral:rRNA from 1 species